GGAGAGAGUGGAUGUCCAUCAGGGCCGGCCCAGAGGCAAGGAGAGGCGAAACUAGGGGGAGGACGACUUCCCUGCGGAGGGUAGUCGGGGCUGCUGGGAUACUCGAGAUGACUGGGAGAGGCUCUGGGCGGUGUUUGGCCGUUCCGCGGAACGCUGGGAAGGAGUCACUUCCAGAAGAAGGUUCCGGUUCCUGUGUUAGGAGAUAGCUGAGUUGCCAGGGCAACGCAGUUGGCUGGCGUCAGGUUCGGGCCUUGGGCCGGUGGCCCGGCUGGAGCAGGCCUGAGUCCGCCGUUCCCAGCUGAGAUUCAUUGAUUCCAGGUAUAUCAGAGGAACAAGCAUCAUGAACAGAAACAUAUAUGCAAUGCUGUGAUGCUGACGCAUAACUGUUGUUUCAGAAGCCCAACAGUAGAGAAUAUAUCAUUUCCAAGAUCACCUACUUUUUAGUCGUGCUUACAUUGUACUAACACCUUUUUGGAAUAAAUAUUGGCCGUUUGUUCCUGAAAA